CUUGCUUGGGGUACUCGAGUGGCGAACGGGUGAGUAAUACGUGGGUAACCUGCCCUCUUCUUUGGGAUAAGCCCCGGAAACGGGGUCUAAUACCGGAUAUUCUGCUUCUGCCGCAUUGUGGGGGUUGGAAAGGUUUUUCGGUGGGGGAUGGGCCCGCGGCCUAUCAGCUUGUUGGUGGGGUGAUGGCCUACCAAGGCUUCGACGGGUAGCCGGCCUGAGAGGGCGGACGGCCACAUUGGGACUGAGAUACGGCCCAGACUCCUACGGGAGGCAGCAGGG
rnacentral:rRNA from 1 species